rnacentral:tRNA from 1 species
GCCGGGGUGGUGGAAUGGUAGACACGCAAGACUUAAAAUCUUGUGAGGGUAACCUCGUGCGGGUUCGAGUCCCGCCCUCGGCA